rnacentral:rRNA from 1 species
AGUGGCGGACGGGUGAGUAACGCGUAAGAAUCUAACUUCAGGACGGGGACAACAGUUGGAAACGACUGCUAAUACCCGAUGUGCCGCAAGGUGAAACCUAAUUGGCCUGAAGAAGAGCUUGCGUCUGAUUAGCUAGUUGGUGGGGUAAAGGCCUACCAAGGCGACGAUCAGUAGCUGGUCUGAGAGGAUGAGCAGCCACACUGGGACUGAGACACGGCCCAGACUCCUACGGGAGGCAGCAGUGGGGAAUUUUCCGCAAUGGGCGAAAGCCUGACGGAGCAACGCCGCGUGAGGGAGGAAGGUCUUUGGAUUGUAAACCUCUUUUCUCAAGGAAGAAGUUCUGACGGUACUUGAGGAAUCAGCCUCGGCUAACUCCGUGCCAGCAGCCGCGGUUAUACGGGGGAGGCAAGCGUUAUCCGGAAUUAUUGGGCGUAAAGCGUCCGCAGGUGGUCAGCCAAGUCUGCUGUCAAAUCAGGUUGCUUAACGACCUAAAGGCGGUGGAAACUGGCAGACUAGAGAGCAGUAGGGGUAGCAGGAAUUCCCAGUGUAGCGGUGAAAUGCGUAGAGAUUGGGAAGAACAUCGGUGGCGAAAGCGGGCUACUGGGCUGUAUCUGACACUCAGGGACGAAAGCUAGGGGAGCGAAAGGGAUUAGAUACCCCUGUAGUCCUAGCCGUAAACGAUGGAUACUAGGCGUGGCUU